rnacentral:rRNA from 1 species
CCUACGUGGCGCAGCAGUGGGGAAUAUUGGGCAAUGGGCGCAAGCCUGACCCAGUAACGCCGCGUGAAGGAAGAAGGCUUUCGGGUUGUAAACUUCUUUUGACAGGGAAGAGUAGAAGACGGUACCUGUCGAAUAAGCCACGGCUAACUACGUGCCAGCAGCCGCGGUAAUACGUAGGUGGCAAGCGGUGUCCGGAUUUACUGGGUGUAAAGGGCGUGUAGCCGGGUUGACAAGUCAGGUGUGAAAGCCCAGGGCUCAACCCUGGGCCUGCUUUGGAAACUGUGGAGCUAGAGUGCUGGAGAGGUAAGUGGAAUUCCUAGUGUAGCGGUGAAAUGCGUAGAUAUUAGGAGGAACACCAGUGGCGAAGGCGGCUUACUGGACAGUAACUGACGUUGAGGCUCGAAAGCGUGGGGAGCAAACAGGAUUAGAUACCCCAGUAGUC